rnacentral:tRNA from 1 species
AGCCCGGUCGUCUAGCGGCCAAACAUGCUGGUCGGAUGCCCCGGGGACGCCGGUUCGAAUCCGGCCCGGGCUA